rnacentral:rRNA from 1 species
AGAGACAGCAGUCGCCGCGGUAAUACAGAGGGUGCGAGCGUUAAUCGGAUUUACUGGGCGUAAAGCGUGCGUAGGCGGCUUUUUAAGUCGGAUGUGAAAUCCCUGAGCUUAACUUAGGAAUUGCAUUCGAUACUGGGAAGCUAGAGUAUGGGAGAGGAUGGUAGAAUUCCAGGUGUAGCGGUGAAAUGCGUAGAGAUCUGGAGGAAUACCGAUGGCGAAGGCAGCCAUCUGGCCUAAUACUGACGCUGAGGUACGAAAGCAUGGGGAGCAAACAGGAUUAGAUACCCCCGUAGUCCCUGUCUCUUAUAC